GUGAUGUGGAACAGAUGCCGGGAGCCGGCAGAGCCUUUGGAAGGGCUGCGUGCGUGCACGCAUGUGUGCAAGAGCUUCGUGGCUUCUGCUGGGAGAAGGGAGCUGCCCCGCUGCCUGCCACCCAGGGAGCGAGCCGCCCCACUGCGACAGGAGCUGGGCUGCCGUGCCAGGAGGUCACACGUUUCUCAAAGCUGCCGGAAGGCGGACAGCUUUGCAGCCAAGCAGAUGCUGCGUGCGCGGUGCUCACCCGCCCCGGGGAGCUGCGGGAGGGCCCCUCGCAGCCACGCAACCGGCACAGCGCGUGCUUUGGGACACCAAACAGCAAAGCCACAGAGCCUCAGCGUGUUGGGGUUGUGCGUUCAGAGGGAACCUGCACCUUCUGGACUCACCAAACGGCAGCCAAACCCGCGAGCCGAGCGCGGCAGCCCGCCAGCCCCUUGGAUUUGCUCUGUUACAAAUUACACACAGCCCGGGCAGGCAGGGCCUCUGCUCUUUGAAAACCUAUCCCUCGGUGUUUAUUAUAGAAACCAGUUGCCCUAUCUGUUGACAGCCAAAUUGCAAAAGGCCCCGCUGGAACCGCCGCCCCCCGUGCUCCCCUUCUGCCUGGGAUGCCUUUAUCUCAAUGGGCUUUGAGGUGCUGUGCUCGGGGACAGGGCUGCACAGCCACCCCCCGGUGCCACCAAGCACUCUCAGCAUGGAGAAAGCUCACCUGAAUGAUUGCAGUGCCACAAAGAGGACAGAAGGCUUCGCCGGUGUCUGCCUGCUGACUGAAGCUGUCAUUAUCAGCUCAAUAAAUCUCUGGCGCGGGUUUUAUUGAAUCGCUGCCUGAGGGGGAACAAGCCUGUAAAGGUUGAGGAGAGCAGAGCUUUCCCACGCCUGAGACACGCUGCCGGAGCUCUUGCACACAUUCCGGGCCUGCCAGCACUCCGCAAAUGUUUGGACAGCCUUGAACAAAUAACACACCUUUAAAGAGGCCAGCAUGAAAUUCUUCCUCACCCCUCGGCCGCCCUCCCGCUGCCUCGUGCCCCCCCCCCCAGCACCCCGCAGUGCUCCAUGUGUGUGUGCGCGCGGGGUUUAUUUUAGGCUCGUGGCCGUGCUCCAGUUUCGGGGAGGAGGAUGGAGGAUGGGGAUGGGAGGAGGUCUGGCUUUUCCUCCCACAGGUAGGAAACGGCUCCAGGCUGUGAUUUGGGGGAUGCCAAUGCUUUUUUUAUCUGUAUUCUCUCUGUUGCAUCUCAUGCUCUGCUCCGUGCCCCGUGGCACAGCGCAGGGGAUGGAGCCAGGAUUCGCCCCAGCGUGGCGGUGGGGCCGAGGGGAGCCUCAGCAAGGAUUAAUGGAGCAGCCAGCUGCCUGCCUGCUGAGUUCUGGGAAUGUCAAACACUGCAGCCAUCUCAACAGCUCCUAAAAUUCCCCCUGACUCGUUUCCUGUUGCUGCUUUCCCGAUGCUGAAAGGCUCGGGCUCCCGUGGAUUAAAAAAAAAAUAAGAGAAUUGGAGGGGUUCCAGAAUUUAGGUUUCUGCCUCCUCCAUCUUCCCUGUCAACGCGUCGUUAAAUAAGAAGCAGGAACGCUGUAUUCGCCGUGCGCUCCUCACCAAAGGGCUGAGCGAAAAUCCUGCUGGAUGCAGCAGGUGACAGUCGGGUUCCCUGCUCCCAGGGUCUGUCCCCGUGUGCCAUACCCGAGCAGAGGGCGGGAGGAGCUGCACAGACCAUGACUUGGCUCCCUUUGGGGAAGCAGAGGCACACCUGAGGCGGGGAUGCUGCAAGGGGCAGGCAGCAAGCUGCUGCACGCACCCACUGACAACCAGCCGCACCUCGGGCGAGGUCAACAGUGAACGUAGGAUGGGAAGAGCGAAGGUUGAGCAGCACGGCGCAGGGCUGGGUGCAAGGUCCAUUGCCAGCAUGCUCAUAAAGUGUGGAUAAGGGAGUGGUUUCCAGCUGAGAAAACCUCUCACGUUGGUUUAGAGGCCACCCAGGUGUCCCCAGGUUGGAGGGGGCCAUGUGUCACCCGAGGCACGCAGCAAGGAGGAGGCUCUGCUGUGCUUUGGUUCUGCAUUGGAAAGGCUUUGCAGACGCAUUGCUGGGAUGGGGUGGGUGGUCAAUGCUUCCUUCCUCGUGACCACACCCGCACGGAUUUGAGUCACUGUGGGAUGAUGCCAAGCAGAGGUUGGGCUGUGCUCUUCUCUCCCAAAAGCCCUUGGGGGGGUUGGGUGCAUCCCAGGAACCACAGCGGGGUUUGGAGCGUCCCACCACUUGCUGUGGCUUGGCUGGUUUGGCCAAGGUCUCAGCCCGGCUUGCUGGUGCAGCUGCCCCCUAAAAAAAGCACAGGAACCACCAGUUUGCAGCAGGAGGCAGAUCAAACCUCCUGUUUGCUUUCAAGCCUUCAAUUGUCCGUUAGCAAAGUGCACACCACAGAAUGGGUGGCCCCUUUCCUGGAGAAGCUGUGAAAACCUGCUCGGUUCCUGUGCUAGGAAAGCAAACAAACAAACACGACCCGGCGCUGGGUUUCAGCACACCAGAGCAUCUGGAAGCAAACCCCGAGCCCCUGCCUUGCUGAUAAGAGCCAGCUCCAUUGCCCACCGAUGGGAGAACCUGGGGAUGUAAUUAGAGAUGCGAAGCGCUCGAAACAAAGGGCGAAAAGCAAUCAGCGAAAGAACGGCGGCUUGAGCAGAUGAAUACACCACAAAAGCACCUUACAAACACAGGAUUUAAAACAGAUCAUCUUCUGAUCCUGGGCUAUUUGUCACAGCAAUGAAGGCUGUGGGCAUGCUUUCAUUUUCACUUCAACAGAAAGCUAAUUUUGCUGCUGAGAUCACUUACUUCCAGGAGCCACAACCUGGUGCAAACCCCCACUCUGUGCUGCAAAAUGCACUGCUGAACCAACAGGGCAGUAGCUGCUUCCCCUGGAAACCCAGGAAGAGGAAAGAAGGAAGCCAGCAGCUUUGAAAGAGCUUACUGAAGUGCUCUCAUUUAUUCUUACUCCCAAGCCUUUGCAUGCCAGCUUCCUUGCAAAACACUUCUAUAAAAAAAUAUCAAGAAGGAAAUUAGAUUUAAAAUAGAAAAAAAAAAAAAAGAAAAAGAAAAAAAAAAAGAGAAAAAGAACCCCAACCCUUUCAUACCACUGCAUAAAUCACCUUGUUCUGAACCAAAGCAAUAAGAUGCAGCUCUGGCCUUGGUUUCAUUAAGUGACAGGGUGGCUUUCUUCGGGGUGGAACAAAACAGCAGUUUCUGCUCAGGAGCCCACAGAAUCUGCCCCCAGGGUGGAAUUUGCACUUGAGAGGCUGAUGGUGUCUGGGGCUCAUGCUGCCCUCGGGCUCCAGGGCUUUCACCCCAGGCUGUGUCCCCGUGUCCCCACGUGCCUUGGCACGUUGCUCAAUUGCACUCCUGCGUCUCCCAUUGCAGCAGAACUGGUGAGCUCCAGCCCUGGGGCUGCUCCCACACCCCACAGAUGGGGAUCUGGGACAUUCUGGGUUCUCCAUCCCUAUUUCAGCCCGCUGGCUGCAGCUGCUUUCCCUCAAUAAGGACAUGGCUUUGUAGGGCAGCCACUGGAACCGAACCCACGCCGAGCACCCCCAGCUCUCCCAUGAAGCCAUAACACCCAUUGGGCUCCAGCUGAAGGUUGCUGAUGUUGGUUCACAACACACCCACGGGCAUCCUCAAACCCCAGCACUGCCCACACCCCACCAACACA
rnacentral:lncRNA from 1 species